UACACCGCUGACACCUGCGCUCCAAACACAGGAGGUGUUCAGAAGCGAUUGGUUUUACACAAAAAGAGUGGGAGAGAGAGGUGAAAAUGACUACAAUCAUCACUGUAUACUAAAGGAGAACAAAUUAUCAACACUCUCUAUCAUUAAAACCCCAUCUCCACAAUACAAAUAGGUUACCUGCCUGUGCCAGAAGCAGUGUCCAUUCCUGCAUAUCCACUCAGGCUACAUUAGCUGAAUACAUGCCACUAGGAAUUGCUGCUGACAGUCCAUAAUCUGUAAGGCUGACGGUCUAUAAUCUGUAAGGCAGGGCUUAACAAAUUUGUUUUGAAUCUGGAAGAUAGCCAUUUUUUCUUAA